CCGUUUCAACCCCCCCCCCCCCCCCAACAACGACACCUUCAACCCCCCCCGUCCCCGUCCCGCCUUUCCCCGGGGGCCCCCGCUCGCUCCAGCGCCCCCGGUGCUGCGUGGAGGCGAAAAGGGAGCGGGGAGGGGGGGGGGGGGGAAGGACAAGACGCACAAGAUGGAGGCGGCGGUGGCAGCGGGGCAGGCGGGGGAGGGGGCUCCGCGCUCCGCUCCCCCCCCCCCGGGCAGGGACCGCCCGCCCCCUGCCCACCCCCGGGGUGACGGGGGGGGGGGGGUCCCCUUCGUGGUGGCCGCAGGGCUGAGGUUUUGGGUCCCCUUGUGUCCCCCCCUUUGCCUCCCAGUUCCCCUGAGCUCAGGUACAGCCGUGGGGGUCUUUUUCUUCCCCCCCCCGGGCAGCCCUGGAAGGGGCAGCUCGGAUCCUGAUCGAGGUGGCUUCAGCCUGCACCCGCUUUUAUGUUUUGUGGGUUUUUUUUGCAGGGGGCCCCCCAAAAUGUGCGGGAGAAUCGGGAGACACCAGGGUCUGACCGAGCCGCACCCCCCAGAGCCCGCUCACCGUGAGCCCGAACAAGCAACACCCAACAAAACGCUGGGAAUAAUAAGAGCCUGUAUUUAUUUUCCAGUCUUGAUAACUCCAGCUGCGACGGGGUGGAAGGACGGCGAGAGAGGGACUGAGAGGAGCGAGCAAGGAAUUGGGCAAAGAAAAAGAGCCAUAAUCAUGUUACCAAUACUCCACUCACCCAUAGCACAGGAGUCUGCAGAGGAUCAGGAAUGCUUUCCCUGGCUGCUCAGCCAAGAGACAUGGAAAAAAGACAAGGCACGAGCUUUGGGAUCCAGGCGGCAGCUCCGGGACCUGCUCCGCUCCAGGGGACACAGAUGACAGAGAAGAAAACCAUCAGGAGGAUGAGCUGGGAUCUGAGCUGGUUCAGGAUGACUUCAGGAGCUCGGUACCAGCGCGUCACCACGUAGCCCGUCAUCUCAGCAUCAGCGUGUCUGGCCAAGCCAAAGUCCAAGAUCUGCAGUUCACCCAAGGAAGAGGGAAGAAGGAAGGGCAGGAAAGGAAAGAGGAAUGUUACGGCCAAAAAAAAUCAGAGUAACAGCACAAAGAACUUACCCUGUGGAUGAUUCCAGCUGAAUGAAUGUACUGCAAUAAAAAGAGAAGCCAGCAUGUGACCACCAGCAGAGGAGACUUUCUGUUCUCCAGCAGAGAAAUGAAAGCUCUGGAGAAGAACUUGCUGAGAACCCAACUCUGCACCUGCCCAGGGAAGCAGUUUGAGAUCUUUGCUCUGAAUUUCUGGCAGUGUUUGCAAUGAUGUUGUCACUCCAAAGAGGCACAGAGCAGAAGAGGAGCCCUGCCUGAGAAGACAACCUCCAGCUUCCUUCAGUCUGUGGCCUGCUGAGACUGAGUUGCUGAUCUUCCAAGAGGAACUGCUCUGAGAACCUUCAAACCCUUUUCCUGCAGGCUGCUAAAUCCCCAGCAGUUGGCCAAGAACCCAACCCCAGCUGCACAACUGCUCCUGCCCAAGGAUGGGGAAGGGAAAACAACUCAUCCAACCUGACCAUCAACACGGAGGGAAAUGCCAAAGAGAAGGAACAGCCAGAAUGACAAUGAAAAGAAAGGCAGGUCCUUAAAAUCCUCCUUUUAAUUGCUCCAGGGCCUGAUGAAGAAUGGUUCUCCCAUGGUGAGAGCAGCCUCUGGGCUCAGCAGCCACACAGGCAGCAGCUUAGCAUGGAUCAUGCUACAUGUGAUGCACAUGCAUGUAACACCUCGUGGUGACACAGGUGGGUCUGUGGGUGCUGUGUUGUCCCAGCUGGGAGCACAGCAUGGAGUCUCUUUAUGGAUUCUGGGUGUCCUAGACAUGGGAACCACCUUGUGCUUCUGAUUCUCUUUGUUAUUUGGGGAUUUCUGGCUUUAGUCUUUCCAGCUCAGACCGUGGGGCUUCACCUCAACCUGGUCCUGCUGCUAAGUCUCUGGUGUCCUGGGCACUGGCUAAGCCUGGACAGAGCAAAGGCAAAUUCCAAACUUACAAGUCCUGGAAUCCCUGGUAGGAGGGGGCAGAGGUGAAGACAUCGAGCAGCCCGAUGACCUGAUGGAGAAGAAAAGCCUGCACUGAAACCUGGAAGGCAUUUGUUGUCCACGUGGGACUCAGGCAGCAGCUCUGUCAGCACACACACAUGGCACAGGUUUCAUGCCUGCCUGAAGUUUGGGAUGACAGUGCCCAGGCAGAGCUGUGUCCUGCCUCAGCCAGACCCAUGUUGGAGGGACCAGAAGACUCUUCUCCCACAGUUACAUUCACCUGGGAACCAAAUUACUACAGAUUUGGGCAGAACAAAUGAGGGGAAAAAAAUCCACAUCUUUGCUGUUUUGCCUUAGUUCCUCAGCUGCUCCAGGAGCUGUAAAGAAAAUCUGAGUAGCUCUGUGACAGAAAAGCUUCCCAGCAAUUCCCAGCAGAGGACAGCAAAUCCCAACUCCACGUGCUCCCACCUCUGCUUUGUGCAGGGAUCUGCACCAAACCUUCCCUGCUGGGCACUGGCCAUGGGCAACCACCACCCCCGGGACUGACUGAAUCCAUCCAUCCACACAUCCAUCCACAUCCCUCCCUCCAUCCCUCCCCAAGACCUCCAGAGCAGCCCAGGCUUUCCCUGGGACCAGUCAGGGGCCAGGUUGUCCUGCAUCACCUUGGAGGAAGCAGCAGGGACAAGCUGCAGCCACCCCUGUUCCACCUCUAGCACCACCUACAAAUCACAAAGCAGCUGUCGUGAGCGUGAAGGGACAUGUCUUUGGGCCCUCCUCCCUCCGCCUCCACAUCGGAGGAGAUGAGGCAUCAGGUUUCUCGACA